ACAGAGGGUGCAAACGUUGUUCGGAAUUACUGGGCGUAAAGCGCGUGUAGGCGGCUUGGCAAGUCGGGUGUGAAAGCCCCGGGCUCAACCUGGGAAGUGCACUCGAAACUGCUUGGCUUGAGUACUGGAGAGGGAAGCGGAAUUCUCGGUGUAGAGGUGAAAUUCGUAGAUAUCGAGAGGAACACCGGUGGCGAAGGCGGCGAUCUGGACGAUGACUGACGCUGAGACGCGAAAGCGUGGGGAGCAAACAGGA
rnacentral:rRNA from 1 species